UACGUAGGGCGCAAGCGUUAUCCGGAAUUACUGGGCGUAAAGGGCUCGUAGGCGGCCAACUAAGUCAGACGUGAAAUCCCUCAGCUUAACUGGGGAACUGCGUCUGAUACUGGAUGGCUUGGAUUCGGGAGAGGAAUGCGGAAUUCCAGGUGUAGCGGUGAAAUUCGUAGAUAUCGGGAGGAACACCGGUGGCGAAGGCGGCGACCUGGGUCGAUACUGACGCUGAGGUGCGAAAGCGUGGGGAGCAAACAGG
rnacentral:rRNA from 1 species